AAAUUCCUCUAGAGUUUGCUUAGGCAGCAGAACAAUACAGGGAAGAUUAGCAUGGCCCCUGGGCAAAGAUGACAGGCAAAUUCAUGAAGUGUUCCAUAUUUUU